GGCGAGUGAAGGAGAAAGCCCAGCACCGAAUCCUCCAGGGACUCCUUGGCAGGACCUGUGGUGUGUAGGAGAGUCUCUCCGGCGUUAGUAACUCUUGAAGUCCCCUUGAGCGGGGCCAUCGCCCAGAGCGGGUGCAAGGCCCAUGCAAGAGAGACUGAUGUCGGUUGGAACCUCCACAGAGUCGGGUUGCUUGAGAGUGCAGCUCAAAUGCGUAGUAAACCCUACGUAAGGCUAAAUAUGACCACGAGACCGAUAGCAAACAAGUACCGUGAGGGAAAGUUGCAAAGAACUUUGAAGAGAGAGUUCAAGAGGGCGUGAAACCGUUUAGAAGUAAACGGGUGGAACUGCAAUGCAGUCUGUAGAAUUCAUCUUAUUCUAACGGGGAUACCUCGCGACUGAUCGUCUGACUGGCGACGGGGAAUUCUUCGAGGAAUGAGUGCACUUUCUGCAGAUGAGCGCCACGAUCGAUUAGUGUGCUGGCUGAAGGCUGUUGAUUGCCGACUCAGAUUCGUCUGAGAGCCCCGUCAACGUGUCUGGUCCUAGUUGCACUGAUCGAAAAUCUGCCGUGCCUGCAUGUCUCAUAGCGUGCCGCUUUGAGGUGGUUGAACAUUCAGGUUCAGCUUGCUGAGCCUGGAGACGCCCAUCGCUUACUCGGUACGUGGUUGAGAUGGCACUUAUGAUCUGUGGCGUCCGUGUCAGUGUCCCACCCGACCCGUCUUGAAACACGGACCAAGGAGUCUAACAUGUACGCAAGUCAUUGGGUGACAAACCCAUAGGCGUAAUGAAAGUAAAGGUCAAUUUAUUUGGCUUAAGUGAGAUCCUUGGUUUAACCGAGGCGCAUCACUGUCCCAUCUCAUUCACAUUGCUGAAGAGGUGGAGAAAGAGCGUACACGUUGGGACCCGAAAGAUGGUGAACUAUGCCUGAGCAGGACGAAGCCAGAGGAAACUCUGGUGGAGGUCCGUAGCGGUUCUGACGUGCAAAUCGAUCGUCAGACUGGGUAUA
rnacentral:rRNA from 1 species